rnacentral:tRNA from 1 species
GGAUUGUGGCUCAGAGGUAGAACGCUUGCCUAGCAUGAAUGAGGUGCUGGGUUCAAUCCUAAGCACCA